rnacentral:rRNA from 1 species
GAUGAACGCUGGCGGCGUGCCUAAUACAUGCAAGUCGAGCGAACAGACGAGGAGCUUGCUCCUCUGACGUUAGCGGCGGACGGGUGAGUAACACGUGGAUAACCUACCUAUAAGACUGGGAUAACUUCGGGAAACCGGAGCUAAUACCGGAUAAUAUAUUGAACCGCAUGGUUCAAUAGUGAAAGACGGUUUUGCUGUCACUUAUAGAUGGAUCCGCGCCGCAUUAGCUAGUUGGUAAGGUAACGGCUUACCAAGGCAACGAUGCGUAGCCGACCUGAGAGGGUGAUCGGCCACACUGGAACUGAGACACGGUCCAGACUCCUACGGGAGGCAGCAGUAGGGAAUCUUCCGCAGUGGGCGAAAGCCUGACGGAGCAACGCCGCGUGAGUGAUGAAGGUCUGCGGAUCGUAAAACUCUGUUAUUAGGGAAGAACAAAUGUGUAAGUAACUAUGCACGUCUUGACGGUACCUAAUCAGAAAGCCACGGCUAACACGUG